AAAGAAGACCUCUUCACAGAAAUUCUAAACUGAAUUAUAUACUUUACAAAUAGAAAAAAAUAAUUUGCACUUCUUUCAACUUUGACCAGACAUGUUUUGAGAUUGAAUACAUUGAACAGUGAUCCAACAUAACCGAAGUGGUUACAAAAACAAAUUUUACUGCUGGUGAUUCAUUCAUAUGGUUGUCCACAGGUGGACAGGUGGGUUUGUUGAAUGAGUUACAGAAGGUUGCUUAAAUGUAUCUGUUCACUAGUUUUCACAAGUUUCUGCAACUCUUAGACAGUAACUUAUUUUACUAGUAAUAAUGAAGUUCCAACACAGAGCAGGCGGGGUGGCUUCAUGGGGCAGGUUAAGAGGUGGGAGCAUGAUGUUCUUCAGGUUGUCAAAUUGACUACUGCUAACACAAGCAGCGUGUGUAUCUUUGAUGGAUGAGGAACAAAGAGAAUUUAUGUGCUUGCAGGAUAGAACUCACAAUCAGAGAAAAAGAUCAAGAAUUGGAAGAGGGGUCAUUCAUUCUCAUGUCAAUGGAAGAAAAGGCUUCAGAGUUAAUAAGGUUAUGGACAAGAGUAGUUAGCUACAGAGCCUACAGGACAACCUUCCACUUGUAAGGAGAAGGAGGAAACCUCAGAGGAUGCUGUUUCACAUCAUUUGCCACAUCCUCCACCAGUACAGAUACUCUCAUGUUGGUGUGUAAUUACAUGCAAAUAGUAAUAGGAUCAUAAUCUUUACUGAAGCAGCUGAUGGAGACAGUGAUGCCUGAAGUCAUUCAUACACAGAGAACUGUGGACGCCACACCAAUAUUCAACUUUGGGCUGAAAAUGUGCUUCUUGCGGAUUGGUUGUGAUGUUACUGCUGCAUUGUAAGGUAUGUGAACAUCUGAACGAAUUCCACAGGCUUUGCAUCCAUGUGAGAAUGAUCCAAUUGUGCAUCCAGGCCACAUGUGCGGCUAUGUGUCCAGUACCUGUGUGGAAUUCUGAACUAAGAAGGUGGUGAUCCUCGUCAGAGAGCUACAUCUUCCAAACUACCUAGCCGAUGCCAGGAAUGCAUGUGGACUUGUGCGCCAUCAGCCCUCCAUGAAUUUGGCUGGGUGAAAGAGGGUUGAGAUGCCUGGAUUCAGACCAAGUCCUUGAACACCUCAAGUGAACACAGAAGGACUAGUGUGCCCUGAAAGGGGACAGAAUCAGCUGCCUGAAAUAUAUGGGACUUCUCUCAGGAUCCUGACGUGCUUGGUAGAUCUCUGUCCCCCUGACAGUGACACUAAUGCCUCAGGAGAAAAUACGGUAGAUAUGCAUACUGAACCUGUGCUGGAGAGCCCCAGUAUGCCUGUGCUGUCAUGGCCUCAGGCAACUACAGGACAAAAGCCAGGGAGCAGAAAGGUCUGCAGCCUGUCUCCACUUCAGCUGACAAAACACUGUGCAAGAUCACCUCCAAGGAUGUGAGAAGGUCCACUGAGCUGCAUAGAUGGAGUUCAGUUAAUCUUCCAUAAUUAUUCAUAUGAGACAGACAGCUGAAACGGUAGAUGCUACAUUUCCCAGAUGUUGACGUUUCUCCCAGAUGUUCAGAACAAAGCAUGGACAACAAAUUGAACAAAACACUUGGGGAAGAUGCAGAACAAUGAAUUAGAUUCUAUAGUGCUAACGAAUGGUAUAAGUCAUCAGCGCUGCAUGCUGAUGUGAAACAAACUUGGAAAUACUGCCAUUCCAGCAUGGUUCCAGAAAUGCUCUAUUUAUGUUUAUACAGUAAAUAGCUAAUAAAGGUUCCUGUUCACUAGUAUGAAAA